GGGAAAUGUCACAUCCUUCUAUAUCAUCUGCUAGAAGAUCGUGUAUUAUGAUCUGAAAUACCGACGGCGUUGUGCACUGCUUUAGUGCGCACUCUACGAUUUACAAGGAUGAUUCUAAGAACCACGUCAGACUAAAAGAUCCAUGGAUCACAUGGAUCGGUAAUUAAAAGAAGAAAAAAGAAAAAAAUUCGACGGUCGUAAUGCGGAGCAAUCUUUGGUCAAAAAGAGUAAAUUAUAUAAUUAAAAUACGUAUAAAACUCUAGCAUAAUACUUUGAAUGAUCUAUGCGUUAAAUAUUGCAGACCACCUCAUUUUAAUGUAUAAAAAAUGUAAGCACACAGGGGCAAAUUUAGAUUAAACAGAGAAGAGUAUUUCUUUUGACCCUGUAUCAUCCCGUCAAUUAAUUUCUUAUCUCUAUCCAGUAUAAUAAAUGCCAAGAAAAGGAAAAUUUCGAAGUGGCAGAGAGAAAGUAGAAUAAGACAAGGUGAAAUUGAAGACACAAGGAUACAAUGAAGAGGCGUAAACCACGCUCGCUCACGGUGAAGUGCUCUCACCAAUGGUCCGUGCGAAUGUGACUCCGCCCCUUUAAGCGUGGCUAGUUUUCUCCCUUGUGGUUCCAUCGUGAUUGUCGGCUGUGCUUGGUCGAGCAUGCGCAUCAGUCUGCAUUCAUACGAACACGAUCAGAAAAGCAAAGCCGCUGACUUGAUCACACAAAUGCGCAGAAGUAGUAUGCGCGCAACGUCAAUGCUAGCGGCUACCGAUUGGUCCAUCGACCACUUGCAGCCCUCUCAAACCAUUUUCUUUCUUACUUUCCUUCCCUCAAUUUCUCUUUCUCUCUUCUUUAGCGUCUUGUUCGUUCAACAAUUUUCAUUCGACUGCGUCUUGUUCUUUCUCCCUCUCUCAUUAUCCCAGAUCUUGAUUUCCUUUUCACUCGCACAAUUUUAACACAAAUUCUCCGUAUGCUAAUUCGUCUGUGUGUGUGUAUGUUGAACAACUACUACAGAGAACGGGCGGGGGCUACAUUCUGAGGCUACGCUACUAGCCGGAGAGGAGAUUUCUUAUUUCUGCUCUGGUAAAUCUGUCGCCCCAGUCAGUGAGGCAGCGAAGGGCGAGCCGCGCACCAUUGACCGUGUCCGUGCUUCUUUUUUCGUCUCGUCUAGCCCAGCGACCCAACGACGCUGUUCUCCGUUAACAUUUUCUCUCUUUAUCUCUAUCUUUCCUUCUUGUACAUCAGCAAACUUUCCCUUUCUCGCUUCUUCUUUUAUAGAAGAGCACAUACGGACACGGUGCAUAGGUACUUACUCUUGCCACGUUGUUCUAUCGGAUAUUCAACAGUUGACGUUAAAUCAAUUGAGUUUUUCCCCUGAUCUAUCCACUCAUGGAUGGUAACCUUCUCGUCCCGGUUGGUUGGUUAGUUGUGCGUGAAUGAAGGACCUAAACGUGAUCGACGCACUUCAUUCUUACAGUUUUAUUCGACACUGUGACCCGACGUUUCGGUGUUUUCUGUCCGUCUACCUGUUUGUAGAUGAACCACGAAGUUGCGUCAACUUGUUGCACGUUGCAUCAGUGAAGUGUCUCAUCGACGUUUUUCCGAUCAUCUUGGUGUUCCUCUUCUACCGUUCAAACGGUAUUGAACGCAUCUUCAAGAUGACUACAGUGCACGGAUCUCUACGGCAAAAGAAAAUGUGAGGUCACAGAGAUGCCAGCGCGUAGGGGAACGCAAGGUGGUGCAAGAUGAAAAGAGUGUAAAAGAACCGGAUGUACUUGGCGGAACUUGGAGAACGUGUAUCAGAUUGAAAGAUUGGAGAACACUCGGUGGGCUGAGAAUUUGGCAGGCCGAUAACGUUAAUAAGAUUAAAGUAAUCGGGUGGAAAGACUUUAUCGACGGAGAACCGUUUGGAGAGGUGACGGAGAAACUCGCGUUGCAUGUAGCCGACGGCUGCUUGGCUUCCCUUCCCUCAUGGAUCCUAUUGUGCUAGAUACUGGAAGAAGAAAUGGUCGAUGCAUGAAGAACGAUAUGUCCAAUCAACGGUAUUGAAACGAGACGGUAUCGUGACCCACAUAUUGGUAAAGCUGGAGCAUAAAUCUUCAAGAUGUACCACGUUUGUUGUGACGCGUGAAACGCUGCCGAUGACCUAGAUCUAACGUGUUUUACCCUUGCUGCAAUUCCCGAUGAUUCGAUGAUGAGGACACCAGAUUCAUUUGGUCUGGGUUACGGUUGAUCCAGAAUUCUACGGUUACUCCUCUGCAAGAACUCGAAAAGAUUCCAAACGUUCUUGCUUAUUCGAAAGAUUCGAAACAUUCGAAAUGGUGCAAAAACAGCGCAGGAGCGUUGCAUUUUAUAAUCGUUCUUUACAGAGUGUCGUGACAAAUUUUUAUUGUCCAUCGUAUCUCCCACGUUACUUACACCCGCCGCGGCGCGUCAGCAGAAAUACGUUCUUUGGUUGCGUUAUCGUUCGAAUACGUUUCCAAUGUAUAUCGUUACAUAUCGAGGUCUUGAACCGUACAUGCGGUUACGACUGUAUUGGUGUCAAUGACUUCGGAGAUUGUCAACGUCAUCGGAAGAAAAAAAUGCAGCGGCUGAUAACGCGGGCAUUUUAAACGGACGGGGAUCGUUUCACUUUUCUAUCAUUCUUCUUUCCGUCCCAUAACCAUUUCUAUUUGCGAAUUAGAGUUGUUGCUUGUUUAAAUUCAACGUUACAUUUUUAAGCCAGGGUGGUUAGGAUUGUACCUGGAGGAAGCUUCGUAGUUCCACGAAAUUGUUGACACUGACAGGAAACGUACAGUUACAGAUUCAUUAGCGUUCAAUUAGUACCGUUUGUUCCAGUUAAACAAGGAAGCAAGCUUUUAAAAGGUCCGGUUGACACAGGACUGCUCAAAUACUUGUAUUAGCUUCUGGAUGUCUCUCGAGCUACCUAAAGACCGUUUAUCCUUGACUUCUUCCUCCCUGUGUUCCUCUGAAAUUUUAAAAGCUCUAAGAUAAUUUCGUUGCUAAUUUCUUUGUCCUUUUAAACACAAAUCUUCUUGCAUUUGUGAUUGCAAUUUUGACUCUCCUGAAGAUCACGCCAGCUACGCGCCAGUCUACGCUUUUAACAAUAUAGUAGAUUCAACUUUGAAACAUGAUUGUAUGUAUAUAAAAGUUGAAGUAGUUGAAGGCAGAAUGUUUAUGACGUUAUCAACGUUAAUGUUCUGAUUGAUAGGCAUGUAAAUGUAGCGUGUAUUUGGCUAUGAAAGCUACACGACAAGGUGGAACGUAUUCUAUGCUCUAUUAGAUACCGAAUACAUUCGUCUACGAUCGCGCGAUGAAACGAUGUUGAGAUGUAUGGUUGACAAGUUAUUACUUGCACGAUUUGGACGUGAAGUUCUGCAUAGCCGUACGCUGAUUCAAAAUGCUGGCGGCCCGCCACACUGGAUUCUUCUAAUAGCUCAUCUCAAAAACUCGUGACCGUAGAUCGUUUGAGUUAAGUAGCGAUUUUGGCGCGAAGACAAUUCGUCUAUUCUCUUCGACAUUCCUUUCGGAGCAGAUACUUCUUAGAAAAAAAAAACAGAAGAUAACAGUUGCAAGCUUACGAGCUUGCAAGUUUUCAGGUCAAUGCGUUGAUACUGCAAAAGAGAAAAAUAGCAAUAUUAUCUUCAAAAGUGGAAACACGUUUAAAGGAUCUAGAAAAUGAAAAAUAAAAGGGAAAUGUACUUUUGGCGGUGCAGAUUUUUUGUUCGUCGAUUGGAUAUAUUUCCGUCCCACUGUCAUCGCGUAUUCCAGAUGUGAACGCGGUUCACGCACACGUACAAGAAGUUGCCAGAUAAAUUUUGCACCAGUGUAUUUUAGGUGCACGAAGAAAGGUACAGUCCCUGGGGUGAGAAGAGGGGGGUAGAAUAAUUGAGGGAAAGUUCAAUGAGAAAAAGAAAAACAAAUGAAAACUGGGCAAAACGACAAGAAGAAGCCACAUAGAUUGAAACUUGUUCUUGUUGGUGCAGAGUAGCCCGAUUGGUGGUGAAACUUGAAAAAUACACUCGGUGUUCGAUCGGUGUUUUCUAAGUAUAUAAUCGGAAAAUAACAUUAUAAUUAAAUCGAGUGGUAGACGCGUCUGGAAAUUCGCAGAGCUAUGAUGAAACUAUAUUCGACGAGGUCAAACGGUUAUCGUGAAAAAUGUAGCGCGAUUAGCGCAUAAUUAAUUUCCUCUUGCGUCAAGUUGCAUAAAUUUCGUACCUAUAAAUAGAUCGUUCGUUAAUCUGGUAAAAGAACUAGAAAUCAGUUCUUCCGAUUUGAGAAACGAAUAAAUUUUUCCUAUCGUACGAAAAAAAAAUGAUCAGCAUGUGUAAUAUAUCUGUGGGUUUAACGUAAACUAUGCUUGCAUCUCUACGCACGUGGAUAACACGCGAUAACAUUUGGUCAACGAGAAAGCUUCGACUGCGACGGAUUUGUUGCUGCAAAGAGACAAAAAUGCUGGACGGUAAAGGAUCCUUUUCGGUUGAACGCUGUUUGGCCGGUUCCCAGAUUACCAGGCUUCUGGAAGUAAUGAUGAAACGUGACAAGCCUAUUUUAAACACUCGUAGAUACACGUGUUAUAAAUCUAUGCACAUACCAUACAUCAGUUCGUUGUCGAGUAUCCUGACUAAGUAACGAGACUUGUAACCCUUCAACUUAGGUGUCCUCAUUGGGCAAGCUUUGAAACUUCGAUCUGAAAAUUGCUGACGAUUAUACAGUGGAUCGUUUCAACUUCCUCCACGUCCUGCUGAAAGAUUAAGGAGUUUUAAUUUUGUAAAUUCUGACGUGUCGUUGCGACGAACUAAUCACUGACAUGUGCUGAACGUCGCGCGGCUUGGCACCGCGGAAAUUAAAUUAAAGAUCCGUUUCUAUAAAGGCAAGGAGGCCGACAAAGAGUAAGGUUUUGAGGGUCGAUAAUUAGCGAGUGAGAAUGGUAGACAAACACUGGCCGCGUUUGGGCCAAUCUAUGUAAGCGAAACACAUGUUUUCGAGGGUGACACUGACAUCCAUCACUCGUUUCGUGCACGCCCACAUCUCGGACCAUACUUCACCGUUCACUUUUCUACUUAUAACAGCGGCUUUUACUCGUCCUUUUAUCCGCGACAAUUUGUUCCGCCUACCCGGUAUCGUUUUCGCAAAUUUCCAGUUACGAAAUUAGCCGAUCCACCCCGCUCGUGAAUCGUUCGAUGCUUUUUUCUUUUCUUUCCUCCCCUGCUCUCUCGGCGUUUAUAUGUCUAUUUAAAUUUCUUUGAAAAAAAAAAGCUCGAGAUUAUCAAUUACAUCCUGGACCUCUUGACUAUCAAUCUUAAGCAAAAGCAUAGCGCUGAUUUCCAUCAUUUAUUCAACAUAAUCCAUGACUGUUAAGGAUAUACCAUUGAUGUUGGUACAAUGUAGUCCCUGUUUGACUCAAAACUUACCCCGUAUCUUAGGGCGACUUCAUGGCGAAUCCAGCGAAUCGAGGAGAAAUAAAUUGUAGCAGGGAGAUCGAGUGAGCUUAUACAUCUGCGAAUCGUCGCGUGGAACCGGCGAUCUAGCCAUUUCACGCACGUACACGCGCGUCAACGUCGCGUUGCGUGCACGCAAUAUUAUUAGACUUUUUCUCGGGCACAAGGGUGAUGAAUGGUCGAGAUCAAAGGACCCGACGCGUGUAGUCAUUUUACACGCGUGUAAUACACGUAUCCAGACCGACUAGGAGAACACGAACGAUUCGUCCGUAUGUGUAUGCCUGUGUUCUCGACUCUCCGCACAUGCUUUACAUCGGGAGAGCCCUUCUCGUUUGGGACAUUGGCGUUUACUUUUCGCUAAUCCAUCGAACCCUUUGAAUACAUACUGCAAAAACUUAGAACUUAAUAUAAAAUAUUAUCUACCCUAUAACUUUGUAGUUUGAAAACAAAUCAUUCUUGGAUCUCUGUUUGUUUAAACACUCACCAGAUAUCGAGAGAACGUGAUUUUCUAAUCGUUUUAACCAGGGCAGCCUUUUUUCUUAUAUUUCCCAUAUAUUCUACCAUCCAGUGGAACCUUACCAGUUAGGGAGAGCCUAUACCUUUGAAAAUUUAUUACUGACCCCUUAUAGGAUUUCUAAAGUCGAGUCCUCUAAGGCCCAUUGAUUAAUAUGCUUCAAGGGGCAAGAAAGAUGUAUUUGCUUUGGAUCGUAUCUGAAAGUGCAGGUGUUUAAUAAUAUUUCACAUGUGAUAAGGAUUUCUUAUUUCCUAAAUUUGUAUCUACUUCCAAUUUUGUCAACCGUCGACAGAUUCAUCGAGUAACUCGAAAGAUAGAUGUUUCUGAAAAAGCCUGGAUAUUCAUCGUAAUUAUAAAUCUAUCAGAGGAACGGUUUAUUUCCUCGUUAAUUACUCACCUAUAUAAGAGAGAGCCGACCAAAGGAGCGCAUAAACCAUGCCUCUUGUCUCUUGUUUAACGAGCGUGCACUGCUACUCCCUCGCGAUCGAAUGUUAGCCGGCAAAAAGACGGAGCUUUAAUGUAACGCGGGUCAUUAAGUCCAAAUCGUUGGAGUUUAACGGGCCACGUCGGGGUCGUUCCACGAAACAGCGAUCCGCUGAAAAACCUGUGCUCCUUUCACUGGGGUGAUUCCUGGAAAAUCAUCGUUUAUCUUUCAAUUAAAUCCUCUGUGGAACUGUUUUCUUUUCAUUUUAUCGGUACUCAAAUAACAAAUGUAAUAUUGCCAAUUUGUUAUUAAACCCUGAGCCCUUCAUGAGUGCUAUUUAAUGAAAUUAUGUUAGAUUUUCUAUGAAACAAUCUAAUAGUUGAAAGGUAUAAGUAUCCCAUGGCACGAGGUCGAUAUUAACGUUUUGACGAUUGAAAUGUGGCGUAAAGUGCGCGUGUUUCGCGCUUCUGCCAAGAAACCGCCAUCGUGGAGAGAUCGACGAGGGGAUGUCGAAAUGAAUGAUGAAAAAAAUGGUGGCCGGUGGCCGGGCAAAAACGCGUCUCUACGGUCGGCGGCGUCGCCGACGAAACUCUUGUUCCAGGAAUCACGGAGGCAACGUAGGGCCCUCCUUUCCGCCCGCGGUUUUCUUAUUUAUUCCUCUUCUCCGUAGCGCGGUGAACGUACAUCGGUUGCCCUCGGUGCGUAGAAAGAGAAACGAAGAAGAAGGAAAGCGAGCGAACCGAACGGAGAAACAGGAGAGCCACAUAAAUUUCCCCUUCCGCGGACAGGAAAGUUCUUCUUCUUCUUCUUCUUCUUCUUCUUCGCUGCAUUUCCUUCGCGGAUAUCCGUCUACCUAUCUAUUUCGAUUCUACGCCUCUUCAAAUAGAUCCACCAAGAGAGAGAACCUCGAUCCUUCCUCGACAUCAAAGGACCUGCAAGAUGUUUGCACAUUAGCGUUUUCAUACUUGUAACUAUUCGCAAGUCUGACAAGAUUCGAAAAUAAAACAAGUGGUAUGUUUGCUAAUUAACACCACUGACUGCCGUGGAGAUUACCGAUGACUGGCGCCACUAAUUUAAUAUAACCGAAAAGUAACGCGAGCGAACUUGGUGCAGAUCAACAGCAGCAGCAACAACAACCACACCAGCAACAGCAGCAACAGCAGUACGGCGAGG